rnacentral:rRNA from 1 species
GAUGAACGCUGGCGGCGUGCUUAACACAUGCAAGUCGAACGAGAAGUGAAGACGGAAACCUUCGGGCGGAAGGCUUUAUUUCGAGUGGCGGACGGGUGAGUAACGCGUGGGUAACCUGCCUCAUACAGGGGGAUAACAGUUGGAAACGACUGUUAAUACCGCAUAAGACCACAGCACCGCAUGGUGCGGGGGUAAAAACUCCGGUGGUAUGAGAUGGACCCGCGUUCGAUUAGCCAGUUGGCGGGGUAACGGCCCACCAAAGCGACGAUCGAUAGCCGAUCUGAGAGGAUGACCGGCCACAUUGGGACUGAGACACGGCCCAAACUCCUACGGGAGGCAGCAGUGGGGAAUAUUGUACAAUGGGGGAAACCCUGAUGCAGCGACGCCGCGUGAGUGAAGAAGUAUUUCGGUAUGUAAAGCUCUAUCAGCAGGGAAGAAAAUGACGGUACCUGAGUAAGAAGCCCCGGCUAACUACGUG